rnacentral:lncRNA from 1 species
GUUUGAUGCCUGAUGAAUUCACCAUGCACACCUGCCUCCAUCCACAGAGCCCUUUGGCCUGCUGAGGAACAUGGUGUCUGACCCUGUCUCUCAAACUUCUUUAGGGACCCAGGAGUGCAAGUCUCAAGGGCAACUCCGGGCAGCCCUACCUGGUUUCCUGUUCCCUCUGAAAAGGAGUGGAAGAGCAGUGCUUCUCAAAUGUGAACACAAGGCAACUAACAGCAGGAAUGUCUGGACCUGGGCUCUGGAAAGAGCUUGGCAUAGGCUUGGGAAGAAGAAUGUGGAAAGGUAGGUGGUGUUGGUGCAGUCUGAAAGUCCCACUCCAAGAUUCAAGAAACUUUAAGAAAUUUCAUUUAAGUUUUAUCUUAGAAAAUAACAUGAGGCUUUCA